rfam:Babesia microti strain RI apicoplast complete genome
AAUUUUAUAGUUAAAUUGAUAUAACAAAUAAUUGCAGAUUAUAAAUUUUCAGUUUAAAUCUGAAUAAAAUUU